ensembl:lncRNA
UUUCUUGAGUCAAAAGACAGAUACCACCAAUACCACUGCCCAGGUUGCUGAGCCAAAGUGUGCCGGGCAGGAGGAAAGUCUUGAAGAAUUUGCAUUCUCAUUCCCUUCCUGCUUUCAUACUCAUCAGUACCGACCCCUCCCUCUGCCGAGCCACCCGUUGUAGUUAUGCUUCACUUUGUUCAGGGGACUUCUAACAAGGGCCUGAAUGACAGUUGUUGAUGGAAAACCAAAUUUCCUCUUCGUCCUCUCCCAGACAGUCACGUUGAUCAAAGGCAAACAAAUAAAUUCAUACAUUCAGCCCCUCUGCUCGUGGAUUCUUGUCCAAAUCCCAGUUUCUAUUCCAGCCAUUUUUCAUAAAGAGGAAUAGGUACCAACUGCUCUCUGGCCUUGGAGGAUCCUUGAGAAGAUGGACCCUUAGUCCAGCUUAAAGACCUUGACAUUUCCUGAAGUUCUAGCAGCCUGGAAGAAUGAAUAAUGACGUGGAUACAGUCCACUGAAAAAUGGAAGGAAAAAAAUGCAUGCUGGAUGUGGGGAAUUAGCUCAAGUGGUAGAGCGCUCGCUUAGCAUGUGAGAGGUAGUGGGAUCGAUGCCCACAUUCUCCAGUUUUUACUCUUUCAGCUGAGGAACUGUAAAUCUUCUAAAUUGUAGAAAGAAAGGAAAAAAUUAGACACUUUGGACUCUUCCCUGGGUAAGGGCAAAACAGGACAGGCCUGGCUCUAUUGGCCUUCAGUACGUACAUCUCUCAUUAAUGAUAAAUCUAGUAGAUUAGAAAAAUCAACAAACACGUUGAAAAAAUAAACACCACCAUACAUCAAUGGAUCGAACUGAC